CUGUGUCUUGCUUCAACAGUGCUUGAACGGAACAG
rfam:Ovis aries breed Texel chromosome 5, whole genome shotgun sequence.